ACCGAAGUCGUCACUCCUUACCGCUGCUAUUUCCGGAACUACUGCCAUUGCUCCAGUCACCCUCCAUGCGCCACACGCUGAACAGGUAGCUAAGCUUCUCGUGCGCCAAAAUGCCACUCCCGUUGAACUGCAAACCUCCGGUGCCAGAGCUGAGCAGAGUUUUCUGCGCCUCAUCCAUCGGUGGCAGUUCGUUGUUCGAUAGGACUCGGUACAGGAAGUCGAUGUACCUACAAGAUGAUGGAAAGGAAAAAAAAAAUAUGUUUAAUUUCACAUUGACUUUUAUUGCUCCAGCUUCAACAGGCAUCAUAGUGAAUACAGGUUAAUCUCGCAUUGCCUACCACCGCUCCACCGACAGCAGG